AGCUUAAGCUUUCACUUUUUCCAAACUUGGCACAAGGCUGUUAUUCUUCGUGGGUUUCUGAGGUGGAAGAAUCGAAUUUUCAAGCAAAUUCUAAGGAUACUAUACUUGGAGCAGAUUCAAAGCGAACCUGGUAAGAAUUCCAUCCACAAAAUUGGAUUUUAAUUAGCUGAUAAAAAUGGCGGUCAACUUAUUUCUAAGGUUGAUUUGGAAGAGGUAGAGAUUGAAUCUUUCUCUUUUGCAAAACUUGGUUAUUUAUUUUUUUUUUUUUGGUGUGAAUCCCUUAUUUCAAGUUUUGAAGGUUUCAUUAAGAGAAUUUGGACAGAAUCAUUAGAAUGCAUUAUGGCUUCACAUUGGCCAGCUUUCAACUUUUCAUGACGAAGCAACUCCUAAUUUGAUUCUUGAGAUGAGAGUACUUCAUUGUGACAAGAAACAUGUGCUAUUACAUCUCUGGUGUAGUGAUCUUCGUACGAUUAAUUUUAGUGUGCUCAAUUCUAAUUUGGAUUUGAUUGAAUGGGUUGGGGCUUCAGUAUUGGAGGAGAAAUACCCUUAGGUGGCAUUUGGUUGGAGGUAAUGAGAUGGAAUAGAAAGGAAACCAUUUUUAUUCUAUUCCUUGUUUGGUUGCAUUUUAAAGUAUUGGAAUAUCAUUCCAAUGGAAUGGCCUUUCCACCAUUUUAGUGGAAUAAAUAUUCUAUUUUGAAAUGGAAUGAAAGACCAUUUCAAUGCAAGAUUUGAAAAAAAAAAAAUAAUUAUUUUUUUUAUCAAUUUUUUUAUGCAUUUUAAAUUUUAUUCUAUUCCAUUCCUAUUCCAAUUCCCAUUUCUAUUUCCAUUCCUAUAUUUUCAUUCCUCCCAACCAAACGGCACAUUAGUGCUCUUGUUAGCACAAAUGAAAAACCUACUGUGAUUUAUAAGGUAGAUCAAGGAUUACAUUUGCUCGAGUAUUUAUUAAAGUUUAGAUUUCAGAUGAGCUGCCCAGAUCAAUUAGUUUCUUUAAUGACCAUAUUCAAUUGAUGAAACAAGCUAUAAAGUAUGAAUGGCUCCCAUGCGUGUGGUAUUAAUUCUUGGUCGUAGUGUGAGAAUUGGCAAUAAAAAAUUACUAGGUCCUGGUGUGACAAUUACGGCUGCAAGUAACUCCUAUGAGGUGCUUCAGGAAUAAGUGGUUGCUGCUUUGAAUUUUUCUAAAGUUGUUGUAAAUGGAAAUGGUGCAAUAUAUAAAAAGAGAUUAGUAAACAAAUAUCUAUAAAUUCGAGUUUGGUGUGCUUUUUGAAACAAAAGUUCAUGGAGAUAAGGUUAGUGUUAUGAUGAAAAAUAAUGUGUCUGAUUGGGAUUUUCUAAUUUUCUUGUCUUUGCAAAAUUAUGCUAUUGAGCUUUUUUACAAUAGAUUUUAUCUUCAUUUUUCAGCUUAUUAUUGCAAGAGGUAGUAUAACACACUUCCUUUUCUUCUAUUUUUUUUCAUUUUUGGGUUUUGUUCUUUCUUUCUCUGCUUAAUCUUUUUUAUUCAACCAAUAUAAUUUGUAGAAAAUAAUAGAACAUUUUAAUAUAAAAUAAAAUAGAAGAAAAGGUAUUUUUAAAAUGAAAAGAAAAGUAAGAAAUGAUUUUGAAAAUUGGGGAAAAUUAGAUUGAUUAGAUUUAUAAAAUAAUCAUAUUAAUAUCAACAACUAAAACAAAAAGAUUAAUCGUAAGAUAACAACAUAGUUAUUUACGACUAGCUUGUAAUUACAUGUAAUUUUUAAUUAAAACAAAUAUAGUAUAAAGGGAUUAAUAUAUAUGUAUAUAUUGAAAAAAAAAAUAUAGUAAUAAGUGAAGAUGGAAUAUUCCUAUCUAACAUAAACGUUAACAAAUAAAUAAAUCCAAUAAUUAAACCCAAAAAAUUAAACCAUCUUUUUAUGAGGAAAUUACACAUGGGAUUUUAAAACUUUUUAUGAAAGAUAUGGCAGUUUUAUGUUUGUCCAUUUUUUAUGGCAUCUUUUGAUUUUUAAAUUGUUUUAUGGUAUUUUUUAUGUCAUAUAUGUGUAAACUUAAUUUUAAAUCCCAUAUUUAAUGUUUAGAGACAUUAUUACACAAAAUUGAAAGCUAUUUCUUCUCCUCCAUUCAAGCAUUGUACUUCCUCACUCCUUAACAGUCUACUUACCCAAAUCUAUUCACCAGCAACACAUCCAGCGAUCGGCGGCGACGACCCACACAUUCGGCGACCGGCGGCGGCAACCCACACAUUCGGCGACCGACGACUCAAAUGGACCCUAAAUAUGAGAUCUCUACCAACAAAACCCCAAAGACUCGAAUAGAUUCCAUGGCCGUUGGAGAUCUAAAUCUACACCGUAAUUGGAGCUCAACCGCUUGGUCCCGAACUCGUACAUAUUCUGAGAUUCUAAUGGCUAACUCCAGUGACGACUUUGGCAUCAAGUUGACAAACUCUAGUGACAGCGAUAGCUCCGAAAUUUUUUUCGAUAAUUUUUUCCAGUAACGAUGCCGAUUUUGACGACUUUUUUUUUGGCACCGUUAGAAACUCCAGUGACUUUCCGUCAAUGUUAGCAAAUUUCGACUACUUUUUUGGCACGACAAUAACUCUUGUGACUAGGUUGGUGGUCAAGUCUUAGAGCUUCUAAGAAGGAUGUAAAAUUUAUAUAAGUUUUAGUUUUUGUAUUUGUUCUUUUAUUAAGAAACUCGUUUUUGAUUAUAUAGAAUUAAUUGGUUUAUUAAAAUAUUGUCUUAAUAAAAUUAUUUUAAUAUUA